CCUCGGACUUCCACGUGGUUGUAUUACGCUGUUAGCUGACAGGAAGUUUCGUUAUAUUCCUGCCCAGGACUGCUAGUAAUAUUACCUACAACUACAAUAAAAGGUAAACUUGUGGUGUCACUCAGUGCCUCUACAUCUAAACUGGGUAACUGCAGCAAGACUACUAUUUUCACAGAUUUUGACAAGACUGCCCAAAUGUAGCCGUUAGAUAACUUUGAGAACAUUUUUUGACUUCAUAAUACCAUGCAUAGAGGAGUUCAGGAGUCUUCCAGUAUGACAAGCGGCACAACCGUUGUACAGCAGCCAUUUGAUGUAUCCACAUUUCAUCAUCCCCUGUUGUACUAUCCAGACUGAAUCAGCAACCAGAAGAAUGUGACAAAAUUCAAAUCAAACAAGGCAUAUGACUGACAUGUGGUAGUCUUCUAGUAUCUGGAGGCAGGACCAGCUCUUUAAAAUAUUCAGAGGUCAUUAUUAAAUUUCAUAUAAAUUUACUGUGAAUAUAUUAUUUAUCGGUAUAUCAGAUUUUUUCUUGGUUACUAAAAAGCCAUGUAUCAUGGAGGUAAAUACCUAGUGUUGCCAGACCCUCAACAGCAGAGGGUGUAUAAAACAGUUGAGAUCAGAAGCAACAAAUGGAUGGUCAGUUGUAUGUCAAGAGAAGUAUACUGUAUCACUUUCAACAUUGACUUCCAAUUCCACCACUAAAACUAGCAGUCAGGCCAGCCUUUUCCAUUAGUGCAAAGUACCGCUAGCACGAGCCCUCAGUAUUUGGAGAAAAAGCUUAGAUCUAGGUGAAAUACUGGAGGCCUUAAAGAGUGCAGACAUAGCUCCUUUGCAUAAGGGAGGUAGUAGAGCACUAGCUAAAAAUUACAGACCAGUAGCCUCUCACAUAAAAAUCUUCAAAAGAGUGAUGAGAUGGCAGGUUACAAAUUUCACGGACCAGCACAACCAACAUAACCCGAACCAACAUGGUUUUAGAGCAGGACGAUCAUGUCUGUCACAGUUGCUGAACCAUUACAAUAGAAUUACAGAGGCACUGGAAGACGACCAAAACGCAGAUGUGAUUUACACAGAUUUUGCAAAGGCGUUUGACAAAUGCAAUCAUGGAGUGAUAGCACACAAAAUGAAGGCCAUGGGCAUUACGGGGAAGGUAGGCAGAUGGAUUUUCGGUUUCCUAACACACAGAACACAAAAAGUAGUAGUGAACAGGGCAAGAUCCAGCAUCAGCGAGGUCAAAAGCUCAGUGCCCCAAGGCACUGUCCUGGCACCUCUGCUGUUCCUCAUCCUCUUAGCAGACAUAGACAAAAACACCCGGCACACUUUUGUAUCAUCAUUUGCAGAUGACACUAAGAUAAGCAUGAAAGUCAGUACGGUAGAGGACACUGAAAAAGUACAGGAAGACAUAAGCAGGGUUUUCCAGUGGGCAGUGGAGAACAACAUGACAUUCAGUGGUGAUAAGUUCCAGCUGCUUAGGUAUGGAAAGAAUGAAGAACUCAAAAGGAGCACUAUAUACAAAACUCAAGAGGGUCACCAAAUAGAACGUAAGGAACACGUAAAAGACCUAGGAAUAAUUAUGUCAGCGGACCUUUACUUUAAAGACCAUAACAAGACAAAGAUCACGACAGCCAGGAAGAUGACGGGGUAGGUAUUGAGAACUUUCAAAACAAGGAAAAUAAUGCUGAUGGUGACACUCUUCAAAUCGCUAGUGCUGCCCCGUUCAAGGCAGGAGAAAUAUCGGAGCUGGAACAAAUAGAGAUCAUUUCCGGCUCACAUUGAGCCAGUAAAGCACCUAAACUACUGGGAACGCAUGCAAGUCUUGAACAUGUACUCAUUGGAGUGGAGGAGAGAGAGGUACAUGAUAAUAUAUACCUGGAAGGUACUCGAGGGCUUGGUCCCAAAUCUGCACGCUGCCAUAACAACAUACUGGAGUGAGAGCUAUGGGAGGAAGUGUAAAAUAAACCCAGUGAGGAGCAGGGAUGUGGUAGGGACAAUAAGGGAACACUGUAUCAACAUCCAGGGUCCCAGACUUUUCAGCAUCUUACCAGAGGAUAUCAGAAACACUGCUGGAACAAGUGUGGAAGCCUUCAAGAGGAAACUAGACAAGUAUCUUCACCAGGUGCCAGAUCAACCAGGCUGUAUUGGAUAUGUGGGGCAGCAGACCUCCAGCAGCAACAGCCUGGUUGACCAGGCAAGCACCAGACGAGCCUGGCCCAUGGCCGGGCUCAGAGAGUAGAUAAACUCUCGAAACUCUUCAAAGGUAUAUCAAAGGUAAGGUAUAACAUAAGGAACAUGUGAAAGACUUGGGAAUAAUUAUGUCAGCUGACCCUUCUUUCAAAGAACACAGUAAGACAAAGGUCUUGACAGCCUGGAGGAAGACUGGGUGGGUAAUGAGAACCUUCUAAACAAGGAAAAUAAUGCCAGUGCUGACACUUUUAAAUCACUCUCGCUCCCUCAUUUGCUAUAUUGCUCAGUGUUGAUGGCCCUGUUCAGGCAGGAGAAAUAUCAGAGCUGGAACAAAUACAGAAAUUGUUUAAAGCCUGCAUAAAACCAAUAAAGCAUGUAAAUUGCUGGGAAUACCUCAAUCUUAAAUAUGUACUCAGUGGAAUGGAGGAGAGACUUGAUAAUACAGCCUCUCCUUACUUAGUGACAUACUCGUUUACUGAUGACUCAGACUUACGACAAGCUCUCAUGACCAGUAUGCAUGCCUAUAUAAUGUAUAUUAGAGCUGAUUUCCUCUAUUCUAUUUAUUACAAUAUACAGU